rnacentral:rRNA from 1 species
GAUGAACGCUGGCGGCGUGCCUAAUACAUGCAAGUCGAGCGAACAGAUGAGGAGCUUGCUCCUCUGACGUUAGCGGCGGACGGGUGAGUAACACGUGGAUAACCUACCUAUAAGACUGGGAUAACUUCGGGAAACCGGAGCUAAUACCGGAUAAUAUAUUGAACCGCAUGGUUCAAUAGUGAAAGACGGUUUUGCUGUCACUUAUAGAUGGAUCCGCGCCGCAUUAGCUAGUUGGUAAGGUAACGGCUUACCAAGGCAACGAUGCUUAGCCGACCUGAGAGGGUGGUCGCCCAGAUUGGAACUGAGACACGGUCCAGACUCCUACGGGAGGCCGCAGUAGGGAAUCUUCCGCGAUGGGCGAAAGCCUGACGGAGCAACGCCGCGUGAGUGAUGAAGGUCUUCGGAUCGUAAAACGCUGUUAUUAGGGAAGAACAAAUGUGUAAGUAACUAUGCACGUCUUGACGGUACCUAAUCAGAAAGCCACGGCUAACUACGUG